UUCCUUUCUCUUUUUUAAAAAGUGUAUCAAUAUAGUAUAAAAGUGUAUCAAUGUAGUAUAAAAGUGUAUUAAUUGAGUAUAGAGACUGCAUGUGCCCAAUUGGGCCAAAUGACUAAAAAGUGGUAUUACUUUAGCCGACUGGCUAAGCAUGUUCACCUUUUCAAAUGUGGGCCAUUUAUUUUUAAAAUGGCCAUCCCAUGUCCUUUCCCCAUUAAAUUUUUAUAAAAAAUGACCACAUGGUUUGUUGAUGUGCAUAAAGACUUUCCACAUUCAAGAUUAGAUAAACUUCCUAAGUAAGUGGUGGACAAGAGGCAUGCUGGUUGGCUUGAGUUGCUGCCGAUAGUGAUACGUGGCUAUUCUGUGUUACCUUCCUUGUUUGUGGCUGUUAUCGCUUUAAUAAAUAUUGGAGGUAAACUAAAUUCUAUAACAAUAUAAGAAGAUAGUUUCUUGGUUCAUUUGUACUUUCUUCUAGUUUUCUAUAUUUAUAAGCCACCUUGCAAGUGACUGACUUAUUUGUGUAUACUAGAUGGCCUAUUUUCAAUUUAAGGAAGCAGUACAACAUCAUGUUAAGAAGUAGCAUAAAUUUUCAAUUUAAGAAAGCAGUACAACAUCAUGUUAAGUAGUAGCAUAAAUGCUUCGUAGUAUGUUGAACAAAGUUUAUACUAUUGCAUCAGUAAAGCUUGUUUCAAAGACCAAGGUUGUACACAGUUUAUACCAUUACGUUGGUAAAACCUAUUGGAAAGACCAAAUGUCAGAAUGUGAAUUCAAACAGUUGUUGAUGGUAGAAGAAGUUGCAUCUGGAUAUUCUCCAGGAAGAGGAUACGUCAUUCAAAGUUAGAUAACAAUUAUAUGUCCAACUCACAACUAAUACAUUUAAAUUUAAAUUAUAAAGCAAUGGUUGCAUAGUACUUGAAGAUGAAAGACAUAGAUGACCACUAAAUUUCAAGUAAAUGGAUAAAAGAUGUUAGGUAGCAUCAUUUACUAGAAGCGUGAUCAAAAGAAAUGUGCAGUCAAGAUUAUGUAACCACCACAACUGAUAGCAUUCAAAUAUUUGUGCAACUCAAAAUUGAAGGAGAAUAAAUUCUCAUUCAAUUCAAGGAUGUUAUUCAUGUGAUUACAUUGACAUGGACAUCGGUGUGCGUUCUCUGAUGGAGAAAAGCAGUUGUUUCUUUGGUGUAGUAGUCUACUGUGUAUGGAAUGUUUCAUCACUUCACUGAAUUCUUUUCACCUCUUUGAUCUAGGGAACUUUUAUUUGGCAACAAUGAAUGAAUUGGUUAUUGCUAAUGACAAUAACAGUUUUAUAUCACAACAACAAGAAUUCAAAGUCAAAUUCUGAAGUGGUACAGUUGAAAACCUCUCUUGUCCCCAUACCUGUUCCCUUUUUCAAAAAGAUGUUUUUUCUUGGGUAACAAUAGCUGUGCAGUACUUUUUAAAAGAUUCCCUUGAACAAUGUUUAACUCAAAAACUUCAGCUCUAGGACAUGGUCCAUGGAUCUUCUCUGAUUUGCGCCAUGUUUAAGUUUUUAAUCAUACCCACACCCAUUAUAAAUGUGUAUGAUGACUCUCGAGAGCAUUUAUAGUUAUGUUCCAUGACUAGCUUGCUAAUGUCAUAUCCGUUCAAUAACAAUGAGAGGUAGAAAGCAGGAAAGUGAAGCGUUUGUAUAAUGUUCUCCUACAGGGGAAAGCUAAUAUUUCUAUCCUGUUAUAUCGUAUAUAGGAGUUAAAGGGCCCUACUAAGUUGAUGCGUUGUUGAUUUUUCAUUUUCUUGUAUAAUAAUUGUUUACCUUUGGUAUCCCUAGUAACAUAAUCGGCUUGGAUCUAUACAUUUCUGGGCAGGUCAGGUAGUGGUUGCCUGCUUCUAGUUUGAGGAAGGCUUAUUAGACAGUUAAAGUGAUUUGAACUAAAGUAAUUACAGUUGUGUUGUAUGCUUAAGUUUGAUAGAAGAGGCUUUCGGAUGCCUAAGGACUAGGCUAAAGUCAAUGCUGCCAUUUUUCCAAAGAGGUUUAGUGUAAAAUGAAGUAUGAGACUCCCAUGAAAUCUUAGUGACUGUCUUAUUAUUAAUUCUUUAUUUCUCUCAUGUAAUUUCAUCCAAUGUUUUGUGUCUACUCAACUCCGGCAACAGCUUGAUAACUGACCUUUUGCAUAAUAGGUUCUCUGUAUAAAAUCAUUUUUCAAUUUUAAUGUUGCUUUUUUACAACAUUUUACAUUUUAAUUUUCUUUUGACCCAUGUAUUUUAUACAUUUUGUGUCGUCUUUAGUGAAUUAAAUCAAAGUGUUUUGCAAAACAAACCUUCUGUUACUGUGCAGCCUGCACAACCUCAAGACCAAAUGCAAGGAACCCCAUUUGAAUAACAUUUGCCAUUCCAUGGGCGUUAUGCAUAGGGAUCUCAAGCCAGAGAAUUUCUUACUGUCUGGUAAGGAUGAAAAUACUAUGCUGAAGGUAACUGACUUUGGGCUUUCUGUCUUUAUUGAAGAAGGUCAGUUUCUUGCCCCUCGAGAUAAAUUACAUUACGGAUGAGUUUUUAAGAAUAAAUUGUUGUGUUAUCAAUAUUAUGUUAAUCCUUGCGUUUUAGUUUGUUUUGUUUGGACUUGGCACAGAGUUGAAGAAAGUAAAGAAGACUUUUGAAUCUUGUGGUCUUAAACUAAAGAUAUGUAGAAUGUAUCCAAUUAUCCUUUAAUCUUGUGAUCUUAAACAUGUCAUGUGGAAAGUUAGAACUAAAGAAUUUUCAAAAAGGAAAGAGUGAUUUUUUUCAAAUGGGCUAAAAUGGAUAGUAAGACAAAUAAACUGAAUUGGAGGGAGUUUUUUUUUUAAAAAAUAUACAAUGACUUUUUCUUGCUUGGAUGUGUCUGUCAAUGCAUGACGACAAAUACAUUUUACGCUAAGACACGUUAGUAGUAUCUAUCUGACAAAUUUUCAAAAAGAAGAUAUUUGAUUGGGGUAAAUGUAGGAUACACGAAUCUUUGUAGAUGAUGUAUUCUAGUAUCAGCUAGAAUAAGAAUUGUUUCAAUCCUACCAAUCAGUGAUUGCCUUAACAACAAGAUGCCAAGAAAUAUUGAUUUUAGACUUGCAGGAUCAAGUGAUAACUUGACAGGUCUCGCAGCUACUAUGAUUUCAAAAGAUCUAGCUGAUGACCUGUAUUUCUAUGUUCAGUGCUGCAGUUUGCUGUCGUAGCUCUUAUUACUUGAGAGGAUUUCUUGUACUUUAAUCAUGACCCAAUCUAGUUUCCUAAACCAAAAUUUUCAUUUUGCAACUACUUCUGCCAUUUGUGGGUAGUGAAGAUCAUUGAGUGAGAUUUUUUAACGGAGUGUGCGAGUCACUGUUGGAUCAUCUUAUUCUUCUCAACCCCUUUCCAGUUAAAGCAAUGUGUUUAUUACAAGAUUUGCUAGAAGUGUUAGCAUAGAGCACUUGUUAAAUUGAGUCAUUUACCGGUGAUAUGAGUUUGUUGGGGUGCAGCUAAUGGACUUUUUCAGUGAAUAUUUCAAGAAUUCUCUUCUUCCUGUUUAGAGUACUUUGGAAUAGUCGAGGUUUGCACAAGCUAGCCCAAAUACCACCAUCAUAAAAGAACUCCCCCCUCCUUGUUUUGAUAACAGUGCCAUCUCGCGAUGUUUGUUGCUUCUCCAUUAACUGGAUUUGAAAGAAUAUACUGAUACUUGAGUUAAUUACUCAAUUGUUUCCUACAACGACCUAAUAUAACUUCUAGUCUGAUUUAAUGGAUAUCAAAUUAAGACUUGAUGGCUGCACUUAAAGGAAAUUUUCCUGCAAGAUAGCAUGUUGUCAAGCAAACAAAUCCCACUUCUUAAACUGGUAUCACAUUCAAUAUAACACAUUUUUUCUCUACGCUUUUCAAUCACGUGCUGUCUUGCCGCUAUUUGAGUAUUCCAGCAUGGAGCAUUUCCAUAGUUGAUUUCAAUUAUAUUUUGUUUCCUCCAGUUUUCUAUUUAGGAUCUACAAUAGAUGAGCUUAUGUUUCAUUUAUAAAUGUCAGGGGAAGUGUACCGUGAUAUAGGUGGUAGCACAUAUUAUGUUGCCCCUGAAGUAUUGCGACGUAGUUAUGGGAAGGAAACAAAUGUAUGGAGUGCAGAUGUUAUUUUAUAUAUUCUACUCAGCGGUGUACCUCCAUUUUGGGCUUAAACUGAGAAGGGAAUAUUCAAUGCCAUACUAAAAGGAGAAAUUGAUUUUCAAAGUGAUCCAUGGGCCAUCCAUAUCAGAUAGUGCCAAGGUCCUUAUUCGGAAAAUGCUAACACAGGAGCGAAAGAAGAGAAUUACUACCGCACAAGUUCUUGCUUCAUCUUGAGAGAAAUUGGAAAACGCUAUGAAGGAAUAUGGUAUGGGUGAUGAGGCCACUAUCAAGGAAAUAAUCGCGGAGGUGGAAACUAACAACAAACUAAAGUAUAUUUAGAGGAUUGAAGGUCUGCUAUCAAGUGACACCUUGGUUGCCUCUCCUUGAAUGAAAAGAUGCAACAACUUUAUAACAUGUGUUGCUUUGCACUGUUCAACAACUUCACUUACCGAGGACAUGGCAUUAGAUAGUAAGGUACGGAGGUUGAAGAUUAAGGUAGAAGGUUAGUGGGUAGCCAACUUGGAGGUAGAAAGACUGUUUCGGAUAAACACUAAAUUCAAGUCAAAACAGAAGGCCAAUGCAUUUGUUUCAAAUAAUACUUGUACGUAUCUGAACUGGGAUUGUGGAAGGACUAAGAAAUCAAAGGUUUCACUUUUCAGGAGAAUAAAGGAAGAGUUUCAGAACAAGAGAUUGAUGAAUUGAAUUAUACAAUUUUGCUCUUUUAUUUCCAACCUUUCCGUUUUUACAUUAUCAUUUUUUAUUUUUAUUUUUGGAGAUUGGUGGAGAUUUUUUGGUAUUAAAGAAACUUGCUUAUGGUGUGAAUACACCAUAUUGCUUAUGGUUUCUCUUCUUUUAUGUGAACACACCACAUUGCUUAUGGUGUUGUUCGUUUAUAUCCAAACAAAUUUGCUUCUUUCACUUAC